GACGAACGCUGGCGGCGUGCCUAAUACAUGCAAGUCGAACGCUUCUUUCCUCCCGAGUGCUUGCACUCAAUUGGAAAGAGGAGUGGCGGACGGGUGAGUAACACGUGGGUAACCUACCCAUCAGAGGGGGAUAACACUUGGAAACAGGUGCUAAUACCGCAUAACAGUUUAUGCCGCAUGGCAUAAGAGUGAAAGGCGCUUUCGGGUGUCGUUGAUGGAUGGACCCGCGGUGCAUUAGCUAGUUGGUGAGGUAACGGCUCACCAAGGCCACGAUGCAUAGCCGACCUGAGAGGGUGAUCGGCCACACUGGGACUGAGACACGGCCCAGACUCCUACGGGAGGCAGCAGUAGGGAAUCUUCGGCAAUGGACGAAAGUCUGACCGAGCAACGCCGCGCGAGUGAAGAAGGUUUUCGGAUCGUAAAACUCUGUUGUUAGAGAAGAACAAGGACGUUAGUAACUGAACGUCCCCUGACGGUAUCUAACCAGAAAGCCACGGCUAACUACGUG
rnacentral:rRNA from 1 species